AUUGAACGCUGGCGGCAUGCCUUACACAUGCAAGUCGAACGGUAACAGGUCUUCGGAUGCUGACGAGUGGCGAACGGGUGAGUAAUACAUCGGAACGUGCCUAGUAGUGGGGGAUAACUACUCGAAAGAGUGGCUAAUACCGCAUGAGAUCUACGGAUGGAAGCAGGGGAUCGCAAGACCUUGUGCUACUAGAGCGGCCGAUGGCAGAUUAGGUAGUUGGUGGGAUAAAAGCUUACCAAGCCGACGAUCUGUAGCUGGUCUGAGAGGACGACCAGCCACACUGGGACUGAGACACGGCCCAGACUCCUACGGGAGGCAGCAGUGGGGAAUUUUGGACAAUGGGCGCAAGCCUGAUUCAGCAAUGCCGCGUGCAGGAUGAAGGCCUUCGGGUUGUAAACUGCUUUUGUACGGAACGAAAAGCCCUGGGUUAAUACCCUGGGGUCAUGACGGUACCGUAAGAAUAAGCACCGGCUAACUACGUGCCAGCAGCCGCAGGAACAC
rnacentral:rRNA from 1 species